GCGUCUUAGCCCAGGUCUCGGGGGCUGUGUGGAGGUUGCUCCCUGGAGCAGGGUCCCCCCGUGAGGAGGAGCCAGAGGUUGGGUCACUGGAGCAGAGGGUGCCAGACUCUGCCCUUAAGGAUCCAGUGUUGCUUUUGGACGUUGAUCCUGCAGCUGGACAGGCGGUGCAGUGAGGAGCAAGUUGCUGGCUGUCAUGAUUUCUAAGUGACCU